UGAGGAAUAUUGGUCAAUGGGCGCAAGCCUGAACCAGCCAUCCCGCGUGAAGGAAGACUGCCCUAUGGGUUGUAAACUUCUUUUCCAGUGGAAUAAAAUGCUUUACGUGUAAGGCACUGAAGGUACUCUGGGAAUAAGCAUCGGCUAACUCCGUGCCAGCAGCCGCGGUAAUACGGAGGAUGCGAGCGUUAUCCGGAUUUAUUGGGUUUAAAGGGUGCGUAGGCGGAUUAAUAAGUCAGUGGUGAAAACCUGCAGCUUAACUGUAGAACUGCCAUUGAUACUGUUAGUCUUGAGUACGGUCAAGGUAGGCGGAAUGUGUAAUGUAGCGGUGAAAUGCUUAGAUAUUACACAGAACACCGAUUGCGAAGGCAGCUUACUGGGCCAUUACUGACGCUGAUGCACGAAAGCGUGGGGAGCGAACA
rnacentral:rRNA from 1 species